GGCUAAACUUCAGAAGAGUUUUGACGAGUUUAAAGGAAAGAAAGGUGUGGAUAUGACAACGAGUUGUCCCGAUGGUUGGCUGGCAUAAAAGGGAUCAUGUUAUUUGUUUGGCCCAAACAGUAUCGCAUUUGAAGCGGCUAAGGAAUACUGUAUUCGGAAUGCUGCGUACAUGGUUCGCGUGGAAAAUCCCAGAGAAGAUGUCUUCCUCAAA